AUAAGAGAGACAAAAUGUGCAUACUCACGUGCGUAAACAGGUCAGUUCACUGGCACAAUAAAGCUCUCACUUUACACCUCGCCUUCCUCCAGAAAAAUAAAGCCAUCUUUCUUGAGCCCCUCUCACCUCUGUUCUGCACACCCCAUGUGUCUCCUCCCUCAUCAGCUCUGUACAAUGGAAGUGAGGCUCAGGGAGGUUAAGGAACCCACCUCAGCACCCAGCCGGGAAGAGGCAGGUCCUGGUGCCCAGCUGUCUCAACUCCACAGCUCCCUCUAUUCUGCCCAGCAGUCCUGAGCCAACCUGGAUCCUUCAGCCAGACCAGGAGAAACAAGAACGGAGGCUGCCUGUCCUGCCAUCUUGGGCCUUGUUUCCUGGUCCAGGGAACUGUUCAGGUAGACAUCCC
rnacentral:lncRNA from 1 species